rnacentral:misc_RNA from 1 species
UUGACUGUGAAUCGUUGCCUUCAGUGCUGGCUCCGGCAAGUGCACGUUGGUGACUUUCAUCCAACACUCUUGUGAACCUUUGGCCUCUUGCUGGCCUCGGCUGGCAGAGGAUUUUUACACCGACUCGAAUGUAAUGAAAUUAUCAUUGUGCGUAAGCACUACGAAUGUA